GCAGGGUGCCCACCGCAGGUCCUUCCCACCUGAGGGGCUGAGGAAACAUCCCCUCCUUCCCCCUAGGAAGACCAAAGCUACUAUGGGGGUGGAGGGAAGCCCUUUGUAGGGACCUCCCUGCCCAGAAAUGACUGACCUUGGCCUGACCUCAUUGCUAACACCUUGCUCAGGCCCAGGGUAGCCCUGUAGCUGACCCUUUGGUUUCCUCCUCUGUCUGCUUUCCUUGCCCCCAAGUUGUCAAUGCCAGGUGUAAGCAUGCAGGUGACCAGCUUGUUCAUUUUUCUGGAGCGACCCCCACCCCCGGCCUGCUCCACAAGAUCCAAGAACACCCACCCCACAAGGUCGCACACAUCUGUCCUCACUCCUGGCAAGUUCAUUCUUCCUUGGCUGCCCCCCACCCCCCACCCCAUUCAACUUUAUAAAUCCUGUCCAGGAGUUACCUUCUCCGGCCCUUGCCUCUCCUUUUUGUCUUUUGCAGGUGCGCCUGACACGCACUUCGUUCCCCACCCCCCACCCCCACCCCUGUAGAGUGGUUUGUUAUCAUCUACCUAGCUGUCUUCCCCUACUGGAGUGUGAACUCUUGGAGGGCUGACAUCUUUAAUUCGGGACUUCGCUUCCCUCCCCCAUGUCUAGCGCAGGGAUGACACCCAAUUAAUACCUAGUGAAUUGAUUGGAGAGUGUGUGCAGAGGUAUAGCUGGGGACACUUCCAGGACGCUGGGCAGGAGUAUGGAAGACGCCUUUCUCCAUUAUCUUGCCCCCAUCCACCCUCCUCUUCCGCUAGCCCGGGUCCCAUCUUCUCCAGGACCAAGCCCAGAGAGGGAUUCAGCGGCCUUCUAGCUCAGCGCCUUUGGAUGAGAAGUAGACUAGCAUUUAUUGAGCAUUCAUCAAGCUAAUCAGACCAUCGUAAGUGCCAGUUUGAUGCCCGUGUCCCGCCCCCAAAUGGGUCCGUUUGUCAGGUCACUCCUAUAGGCCCACAAUAAAUAUUUUUGGAGUUACUAUUA